rnacentral:lncRNA from 1 species
AUGUCUGUUUCCUCUGCCAGGCUGGUGUGGAAGCCGACCCGUGUUUCUUCCCCCAUCCGAAUGCUGGGGAAGCAGCAAGGAGGUUGCUUAAACACUUCGCUAAGAAGAGAGCAUUGUAAGAAGAAAUUAAAAAAUUGCAGCACCGGAAGUUCAAGUCAAUUCUAUUGGAAGCUGGUCUUUUUUUUUUUCCAGAAGGUUCUGGAUGGAACAGACUGGACUCUUUCAAUAAGGGUUUUAAUAUGCAAUUUAAUUUACAAUAGAAUGUCCUAUAUGACUAGAAAAUGAAAGAGAAGUAAAUGCUAGAGAUAUUUCUUAGGACUUUUGGGUGUCAAAACACUGAAAUUAGGUGUUCCAGGAGCUUGGGAAUCAGAGCCUCUAGAAGUGGGGCCCACUCAGCAUAUUAGUAAUGAUGUUCCUGGACUGGGUAGAGGGUCUCCAGGCUUUAAAGGCAAGUAUGGUGAAGCAAGUACCCUUGAGAGUCUUCCUUUGGUAAUUAUAUUUUUCACUACUCUGGUGAAGGUUCUUUCUGGAACUUUUUUGGGUAUCAGAAGGUGUUGGAUGAGCAGUUCUUAGAUGAUAAAUCUACUCUAGCAUUCCAGUUUCCCUAGAUUUUAUACCAAUGGAGCCUUGGUGUUUUGUCUUGGUUUAGUGUGGGCUACCAGGUUUUGGUUAAUUUAUCAGGCUAACUCUUACAGCCACUCAGGAUGGUGCAUUCAAUCCAGGAUCUUGGCUUCCAGCUCUCGUAUCAAUGACUUCAGUCUUGUCCAAUGUUACAUUCCUCCCAUCCCUUAGAACCCACUUCCUUACAUGCUUCUCAGGUUUCUGUCUAUAUAGACUGACAGAAUCUUGCAAUAUUUUGAUGUUACUGUCAUUUUCUCAUGGCUUACCCUGCAGCUCAGGCUGAUGAGACUUGAGUCUGGUUGGAAGUCUAGAAGCAAGGAGAGGUAGUGAGGGUCUUAGGGGAAUCAGCAGUCCCUUGCAAGGCAAAUACCUCAAUGAAAGCUCUCAUAGAGUUCUUAGACAAGGGGAUCCUGACCUCAGAGAUGAAGAGCAUCUUCCUGCAAAGGAUCCUCAGCAGAAUUGGGGGCAGGGCACUCAUGGUCUUCAGCUUCACUAGAAUUUGUUCAUGUGUCCCAAUUCCAAUUUUUACUUUUUCUUAAGGUCCUAACUUUAACAUAAGAAACCCUUCAGGAUGGUGAAUUCAGUUUGCCUUGUAAUUCAGUUACCAGAAAGAUUUGGUUUUGUGUUUGUUUUUCAGAACUUUUGGCCCUGUGUCUAUAGGAAGAAAGAUAAUUUGUAAUGAUGUCAUUCAAGCAUUCUGAUAGCUUGGGCUGGGAAUUCAAAGUCCUGAAUUCAUCAUUUCCCCUCUAAGUUCUUGAUUUUAUUUAGAAGCAACUAACUGAUUCCAUGCUACAUCUUAUUUCCACUAAAAUAUUUUUUGACGUGGAUGACUUGGUUACCCAAGCCCAGGUAUCUGCAAGUGAUAAGCUCUCAUUCUUUUGCCACUACUUAGUACACAUGCUUCAGUUGUUCUUUCAAAAACAGGAUCAGGCAUCUACUACGUGUCAGAGACUCUUCUGGUUUUCUGGAUUUACGCCAUAACCAAGACAGAAACCAUCCCUACUCUCAUUUAGCUUAGUUCUAAGGGGACAGACAGAUAGAUUAAAAAUAAAUUUUAUUAAAUUUUCA